GGGGAUAUAGCUCAGAGAGCUCCACUCUUGUUAUUGGCGGAUGUCAGCGGUUCGAGUCCGCUUAUCUCUUAUCUCCA
rnacentral:tRNA from 1 species